AUUUGAAAUGUUUUAAGCCAUUAUUUAAAGACGUUUACUAUAAUUCGUUAACAGUGAGCAUCUUUAAUUUUCUAGUUCGCGGCUUCCCUUUUCCCCCGUUUUCGAACUAAAGCUGAAAGCGCCCUCUCUUGGAUGUUCAUGCAAGCAAUCAUUCUCGAUAGCGUUCAGUUGCGAAGUGCUCAGAUUUGUUAAAAGUUAACUUAAGUGGUGUUUUUUUAAUCAAUUGCGAUUCGCCAAUUGCAAGUGCAAGUGCAUAGACAAAACGGGCAAAGACAAGGUUAGCCGCUGAAAAAGCCGUCUUGGCUUUAAAUCAAAACAAGUGCAGCGAAAAAGGCAAACAAGAAAACCAACAACACUGCACAGAACAAAUUUGCAGAUACCGGCCAGCCGUCAAGUGCAAUAUGCUGGUAAGACGGGAGAAUCCAAAGGAGGAAGAAGAACUCAAAUCCAGACGGAUUUUAUGGCCAA
rnacentral:sRNA from 1 species